UGCAUUUUUCACACUAGCCAAAAUAAUUGUCUACAUUUUCUAGUAUCUCUUUUAUCUCUCUCUAAACGAAAUUAGAUCAGUGUUUUUGGGAUCAUUGUGGUUCUUUACUGGUCGCGUCCAGUGGACGCCUUGUGACUGCGAUGGCAGCCCAAACGCACGUGUUUAAAACUAUCAAUGGCUAUACAACUUGGCGCAACUCUCAUAUGAGAUACAAUUUGUCAGUCAUUCAUAUGUUCCCUUACCCUGUGCAGAAAGUGAUCUAUUCGAGAGAACGAGUAUAUAUUAAGGGCAAGCCACAACCAAGGUUCUUCCCUGGAGCAGUACCUCAGAGAGUGAGACACUUGGCGAUCGAGGGCUAUCCUGUUCCAACAACAAUCCCCAGAACACUACUUGAAGUUCCUGACGAUGACCGGUUUCACAUCUUGAUGCAAAGAGAAAGGAAAAUCCGCGAGAAGAUGAAGGAAAUGCCUAUGGCAAUUGCACAGUACAAGCAAGAGCGGCAGCAACAAGCUGUAGAGAGACAGGAACGCAAGGAAGAAAGAGCAAGGAAACUGGCUGAGUUCAUGGAAGCAGAAAAGGCAGCUAUCUUGGCUGGAAAGAGACAAAAAUAAACAAGUCACACAGAA